AUUCCAUGAUGAGGACAUUCUGUAAUAUAAUCUUGAAAAUGUUCCCAUGCCUUGGUGAAUGAUUCAUCAUGUUGUUGAUGAAAGCUUGAGAUUUUCCCAUGUAGAGC
rfam:Sorghum bicolor cultivar BTx623 chromosome 2, whole genome shotgun sequence.